rnacentral:rRNA from 1 species
UACGUAGGGUGCAAGCGUUGUCCGGAAUUAUUGGGCGUAAAGAGCGUGUAGGCGGCCCGAUUAGUCCGCUGUGAAAGUCCAGGGCUCAACCCUGGAAUGCCGGUGGAUACUGUCGGGCUAGAGUCCGGAAGGGGCGAGUGGAAUUCCUGGUGUAGCGGUGAAAUGCGCAGAUAUCAGGAGGAACACCGGCGGUGUAGACGGCUUUCUGGACCGUAGCUGACGCUGAGACACGAAAGCGUGGGUAGCAAACAGG